GAAUUACAUUACAAGAAAAAGUAGGAUGCCACCUUCCAAAUUCAACAAAGAAAAUUUUAAUAAUUAAAUGUUUUGAUUUUAGCACCAGACAUAACUGAAACAAAACAGAUGAAACAGAAUUAAAAGGCUGACAAAUGAUCAAGAGUCAGAACUUUAAAAUCUACUAAAACUAUAUAUUCAGGAGCUCUUCUAGAGCUUAUUUUUUCAAAUUUUCAGAAAAUUGGGCAAUACUGUAACCAAUAUAUCAUUUCACUUUCAAGUUAUUAUCAGAGCAUUCAUAUACGAUCCAUAUUCAUGACAUGAUUGAAAAAGAACAGUUAUAUACUUGCAAAUAACGUUAUUUUUUUGAGUAACUUUCCUACAUUUUGAUGUAUACUUCUCUUCAUUCUGCAAGCUGUUUCAUCCCAUCCCUUCUUUGUAGUUAUAAAAUUAGAUGCAACACGUUCUUGAACUGCUUAUCUCUCAACCUUGAAAUAUGAAAACCUGAUAGUUUCUAAGAAGUUUUGCAAUGCAUGGUGAUUCCACAUCAGAACUCCAAUUGAUUUAUAUUCACUAUGGCACAUGUUUCAAGUUGCGAGAUUAAGGAAUUCUUUUUCUCCAAAUACUUACAAUACUUGCCAAUUGCCAUUGGUACAGAUGGCACUUCUUAUCAUCGUAGAUGGCUUUUACAUGUUACUAUUUCUGAGUGAGAAAAAUAGAUAUCUUUUCGAAAGCCCUUAUCUAGUAGUCCUACCACCAUCUGUACACCAUGGAGAAAACGUGCCAAAUUCAUUAUCUCACCAAGGCCAUUAUGAAUGACAAGUACCAUAUUUUCUGCGUCAUAGAUAUUACUAGUUAUGUUUAAUGAAUUAAGCAUCAAUGAAAUGUAGUUUUUUUAUGUUAAAAUAAUGUAAUUUAUUAUCUGAACUACUUUUUACUAUCCUUUUUUAUGUUUUGCCAUAAUUUCCUACUAAUUACCAAAGUAACUUAUUUACCCCUUAAUACUGCAGUUUGUUAUUUGAAGGGAAUUUCUGUUCACUUUUGUGCUGCUAAAGACUUUUCAGAGUUGCAUGAAAAUUUGAUAUGCCCAAAAUCCUCUAAACUUCUUAUUUUGGAAUAAAAUUACAACCCUUACAUUAUCUAAGUAUUGAAGCAAUAGUUCCUUCAAGUAUAAAUAUUAUUUCAAGAGUUGCAAAAAGUUAAAAAUGUUAAGAAAUGCUGGUUAUAGCAUCAAGAAAAAAUAACCCAGCACAAAAUUAUAAAAAACUGAGACAAUAUUUAGAAAUGCCUUUUACUAAGCAUUCCGAAAACAUAACUGCAACCCAUAAAAAUUUAAAUUUACCAAUGCAUUCUUUCAGCAGUAAAAUCAAUAAAAUUUUGGAAGAUUA